rnacentral:tRNA from 1 species
UGGCUUGUAGCUCAGAGGCAGAGCAGCGGACUGUUAAUCCGCGGGUCGCAGGUUCGAGCCCUGCCAAGCCAG